rnacentral:sRNA from 1 species
AGAGCAAUGGAGCUGGGCGGAAACGAACUUUUCCAGCACAUGCUGCAGGAGAACGGCUUGCUAGGCUCCUCGUUGCACCAGCGCUACUCUGCAACUGCUGCUGCAGAGUAUCGUGCAGCCUUGCAGGCGGCUGUAAAGCAGCCAGACAUGCUUGUGCAAUCUUCCAUGCCGAG